UGGGAUGUAGCUCAGUGGCAAAGCGCUUGCCUAGCAAGUGAAACGUCCUGGGUUCGAUCCCCAGUACCAA
rnacentral:tRNA from 1 species